rnacentral:rRNA from 1 species
CAUGCAGUCGAGCGAGGAGAUUUCCUUCGGGGAUGAACCUAGCGGCGGACGGGUGAGUAACACGUGGGCAACCUGCCUUAUAGAGGGGAAUAGCCUUCCGAAAGGAAGAUUAAUACCGCAUAAGAUUACAUCUUCGCAUGAAGAAGUAAUUAAAGGAGUAAUCCGCUAUAAGAUGGGCCCGCGGCGCAUUAGCUAGUUGGUGAGGUAACGGCUCACCAAGGCGACGAUGCGUAGCCGACCUGAGAGGGUGAUCGGCCACAUUGGGACUGAGACACGGCCCAGACUCCUACGGGAGGCAGCAGUGGGGAAUAUUGCACAAUGGGGGAAACCCUGAUGCAGCAACGCCGCGUGAGUGAUGAAGGUCUUCGGAUCGUAAAGCUCUGUCUUCAGGGACGAUAAUGACGGUACCUGAGGAGGAAGCCACGGCUAACUACGUGCCAGCAGCCGCGGUAAUACGUAGGUGGCAAGCGUUGUCCGGAUUUACUGGGCGUAAAGGGUGCGUAGGCGGAUGAUUAAGUCAGAUGUGAAAUACCAGGGCUCAACCCUGGGGCUGCAUUUGAUACUGG